rnacentral:rRNA from 1 species
AUUGAACGCUGGCGGCAGGCCUAACACAUGCAAGUCGAGCGGUAGAGAGAAGCUUGCUUCUCUUGAGAGCGGCGGACGGGUGAGUAAUGCCUAGGAAUCUGCCUGGUAGUGGGGGAUAACGUUCGGAAACGGACGCUAAUACCGCAUACGUCCUACGGGAGAAAGCAGGGGACCUUCGGGCUUUGCGCUAUCAGAUGAGCCUAGGUCGGAUUAGCUAGUUGGUGAGGUAAUGGCUCACCAAGGCGACGAUCCGUAACUGGUCUGAGAGGAUGAUCAGUCACACUGGAACGGAGACACGGUCCAGACUCCUACGGGAGGCAGCAGUGGGGAAUAUUGGACAAUGGGCGAAAGCCUGAUCCAGCCAUGCCGCGUGUGUGAAGAAGGUCUUCGGAUUGUAAAGCACUUUAAGUUGGGAGGAAGGGUUGUAGAUUAAUACUCUGCAAUUUUGACGUUACCGACAGAAUAAGCACCGGCUAACUCUGUGCCAGCCGCCGCCGUAA